rnacentral:snoRNA from 1 species
ACCCUCCAGGCUCCUUGCCCCUCAGAUCCAAACAUUGGUCUGAGUGGCUAGAAAGGAGGGACAGUCACACGGAAACAGACCCGCAUGCCUUUGUGACAAGCUGGA